AACGAACGCUGGCGGUAUGCUUAACACAUGCAAGUCGAACGAACAAAAUUGGGGCUUGCUCCAAUUUUAGUGAGUGGCAAACGGGUGAGUAACACGUGGGAAUCUACCUAUCAGUACGGAAUAACAUUUGGAAACAGAUGCUAAUACCGUAUAUUCUCCAAGGGGGAAAGAUUUAUCGCUGAUAGAUGAGCCCGCGUAAGAUUAGGUAGUUGGUAGGGUAAUGGCCUACCAAGCCGACGAUCUUUAGCUGGUCUGAGAGGAUGAUCAGCCACACUGGGACUGAGACACGGCCCAGACUCCUACGGGAGGCAGCAGUGGGGAAUAUUGGACAAUGGGCGAAAGCCUGAUCCAGCAAUACCGCGUGAAUGAUGAAGGCCUUAGGGUUGUAAAGUUCUUUUAGUUGGAAAGAUAAUGACGGUACCAACAGAAAAAGACCCCGGCUAACUCCGUG
rnacentral:rRNA from 1 species